GGAACCGAGAGACCAUUCUUUGGGAAUGAUUCAUUCAUAGCGCCAACCAUUGGGAUUAGCCCAAUAUCGAUUCCUGGCAUAUCUAACUUGCCUCGGAGUGAUGGACUUGCAGGACCAGCCACUGGGACUGAUUCUCUUAUGACUCCUGGUAU